rnacentral:rRNA from 1 species
GAUGAACGCUGGCGGCGUGCCUAAUACAUGCAAGUCGAGCGAACAGACGAGGAGCUUGCUCCUCUGACGUUAGCGGCGGACGGGUGAGUAACACGUGGAUAACCUACCUAUAAGACUGGGAUAACUUCGGGAAACCGGAGCUAAAACCGGAUAAUAUAUUGAACCGCAUGGUUCAAUAGUGAAAGACGGUUUUGCUGUCACUUAUAGAUGGAUCCGCGCCGCAUUAGCUAGUUGGUAAGGUAACGGCUUACCAAGGCAACGAUGCGUAGCCGACCUGAGAGGGGAACGGGCAACAUGGAAAAUGAGAAAGGGUCCAGACCCCAAAGGGAGGAAAGAGGGGGGAAUUUCCCGAAAGGGGGGAAAGCCGAAGGGAAAAACGCCGGGGGAGGGAAAAAGGUUUGGGGAUGAAAAAACUGUGUUAUGAGGGAAAAAAAAAUGGGAAAAAAAGUAUGCAGGUUUUGAGGGUAAGAAAUAAAAAAGCAAGGGUUAAAUAAGG